AAUGAACGCUGGCGGCAUGCCUAACACAUGCAAGUCGAACGAGACCUUCGGGUCUAGUGGCGCCCGGGUGCGUAACGCGUGGGAACCUGCCCUUAGGUUCGGAAUAACUCCCCGACAGGGGUGCUAAUACCGGAUAAUGUCUUCGGACCAAAGAUUUAUCGCCUUUGGAUGGGCCCGCGUUGGAUUAGCUAGUUGGUAGGGUAAAAGCCUACCAAGGCGACGAUCCAUAGCUGGUCUGAGAGGAUGAUCAGCCACACUGGGACUGAGACACGGCCCAGACUCCUACGGGAGGCAGCAGUGGGGAAUAUUGGACAAUGGGCGAAAGCCUGAUCCAGCAAUGCCGCGUGAGUGAUGAAGGCCUUAGGGUUGUAAAGCUCUUUUACCCGGGAUGAUAAUGACAGUACCGGGAGAAUAAGCUCCGGCUAACUCCGUG
rnacentral:rRNA from 1 species